CGCCAACACUGGGACUGAGACACUGCCCAAACUCCUACGGGAGGCUGCAGUCGAGAAUCUUUCGCAAUGGGCGAAAGCCUGACGAAGCGACGCUGCGUGAGUGAUGAAGGCUUUCGGGUUGUAAAACUCUUUCGCGCAAGAGCAAAGUGAUGUAGUGAAUAACUAGGUCAUAUGAGAGUAUUGCGUAAAGAAGCACCGGCUAACUCCA
rnacentral:rRNA from 1 species